GACGAACGCUGGCGGCGUGCUUAACACAUGCAAGUCGAACGGGAUUUAGUAGACAGAAGCCUCGGCUAAAGAUUACUAAUGAGAGUGGCGAACGGGUGAGUAACGCGUGGGCAACCUGCCUAUGACAGUGGGAUAGCCUCGGGAAACCGGGAUUAAUACCGCAUAAAAUCGUAGAAACACAUGUUUCAACGGUCAAAGAUUUAUCGGUCAUAGAUGGGCUCGCGUCUGAUUAGCUAGUUGGUGAGAUAACAGCCCACCAAGGCGACGAUCAGUAGCCGGUCUGAGAGGAUGAACGGCCACAUUGGAACUGAGACACGGUCCAAACUCCUACGGGAGGCAGCAGUGGGGAAUAUUGCACAAUGGGGGAAACCCUGAUGCAGCGACGCCGCGUGAACGAAGAAGGUAUUCGUAUCGUAAAGUUCUGUCCUAUGGGAAGAUAAUGACAGUACCAUAGAAGAAAGCUCCGGCUAAAUACGUG
rnacentral:rRNA from 1 species